GAUGAACGCUGGCGGCGUGCCUAAUACAUGCAAGUAGAGCGAACAGACGGGUAGAUUUCUCCUCUAACGUUCGCGGCGGACGUACGGGUAACACAUGGAUCCGCUUCUUAUAAAACUGGGUUAACUUCGUUGACACAGUGCUGAUACCGGCUCAUAUAAUCCACCGGCUAGAUCAAUAGUGCUAGUCGGUUUUGCUGUCACUUUUAGACGAAUCCGAGCAGCAUUCGCUAGUUGGUAAAGUAACGGCAUACCAAGGCAACGAUGCGUAGCCGACCUGAGAGGUUGAUCGGCCACACUGGGACUGAGACACGGUCCAGACUCCUACGGGAGGCAGCAGUAGGGAAUCUUUGACAAUGGGCGAAAGCCUGAUGGAGCAACGCCGCGUGGUUGAUGAAGGCCUUCGGAUCGUAAAACCCUGUUAUUAGGGAAGAACAAAUGGGGAAGUAACCAUGCAUGUCCUGACGGUACCGAAUCAGAAAGCCACGGCUAACUACGUG
rnacentral:rRNA from 1 species